UGAAAAAAAGUCUGAGAUAAUACAAUUAUAUUCUACUAGAAAUAAACUCGAUAGUGUGCGCUAAUUAGAUAAUGUGAUAAUCAUGUUUAAAAACUCUUUUCAAGUCUUAUUUUUCAGAAAAUAAUAUUGUGGAUCAGAUUGCUCUGAGCGCUUCUGUUGUUUACCAAGAAAAUGCACCCCUGUUGGUUAUUAUUUCUGUAUCGCAAAGCGGUGAGUUUCUAUUUCUUGGUAAUUCGGUUUGUAAAAUGACUAUUAAUUACAAGCACAGCAUCAUCAACGGUGAUUGCAAGAACUACUGCAAUCCCUGCGGUUUUUCCUCUUGGUAAAUGCGUUCUGGUCGUGACCAAGGGUGGUCUCCCAAUCGGCCGGGAAUAAGGCUAUUGUUGCAGAACAAAACGCCACAACCACCGCUGUGGUAAAUAUGUUCCAGCAGUACUGCCCACCGCCGUCGGUGUAAUGAUUUUGAUAGCUGAACAAACGCCAUUUCCUGGGGAUUCCCACAUGCCGACAAUAGCUAUUAUAUCACGUGUGUUUGCAACUGCGGCUAAGUUUGGUUAUUAACAGUGCAAUAGUGCCAUGUCAUUGGCAAAAACACUAAGGGAUGCUGGCACAUAGAGGUUGUAAAGUUUUUGGAAUCGAUGAACUUACUCGAAGAAGACGAUGGUCGAAAACAUAUGAUGAAACAUCUUCUGGCGUGCCUUUGACAAUCGUUAAGUUAGACGGAGGCUUCACAUACGAUAUUUCACACAUGGCUGGAAUUCGUUAGCGGACAGAGCACACAUUUACAAAAUAUUUAUCGUUCUGCAGAACGUGCAUGCAUAUUCGAUUCCGAUUUUAUGGGUCGAUUACGGAGGACAACCGAACUUCAGUGGGUUGGCCAGUGGCUGAAAUGGUAUUACCGAUGGCAACUAGCAACUGAAAGCUGGUAACUGAGAUGCUAUAUUGGCACGAACUAAUCAAGGCUGUCAUAGAAUCCAUCGUAGUCCGAUUUUCCGUGAAAUCUAUGAAAAUGCAAUUUAAUUCGAGUAGCUACGAACGCAGUGCUUGCUUUGAAUACACACGUUCAUAGCAGUUCAGAUUCAGUGAUCGCUUUUUUGUAGAUUUUAUGAAAAAUCGGACUACGAUGGAUUCCGCCACCAAUAUAUUUUCUCCUUUGACAAGAUGUUGGAGAAUCGCGGCAGCACAGCCCUAUACCUACCCUAUGCUCUUACGUACAUAUGCUAAAUUUCUCGUACCUAGAUAAAGUGCUUGACAAAGGCAGAAGGCUUAUCUUCAACAUUAUAACUUAAAGUAAAAGAGUUAAAGAUAUGCAAUAAAAGAAUACAACAGAACCAAAAAAUCUCAAAACUAUUAAA
rnacentral:lncRNA from 1 species